UCUCAGAUGGUCCAGUGGUCAAGAUUUCCGCCUGUCACUCCAAAUCAGUGCAUCCUGUGUGCUAAUUAAUGGUUGCUCGCGGACGACCGGGGUUCGAUUCCCCGUCUGAGAG